GGUCUUCGACGUUGUGCUGCCCACGCGGCAUGCUGUGCGAUUUGUGCUUUCUCGGCUGGAAAUGCUUGAGAGAACGAUGUUAGCUACCCAAGAACUGGUAGAAAAAUGGUAGAGAGGGGAAGUAGGCGUAAAGAGCGGCUGUGCAUACCGCUGAUGGAAUCAGGAACGGCAACGCGAAGCUUGUGAAAAGGCAUGUGUUUCGUGAUCCGUGUUGGAACAAGUGAAGAUGCGAGUCAUGGUCGGUCAAAAUGAACCGGAUUCUCUCGAGCUCAGCAGAGCAAAGGGAUGAUAUGACAGUACCGUUUCAGCCUUCUGGGCCUCACCAGUACAGUACUGAUGCUAGGAUGGAGGAGAACUGAUAUUGUCGCCCCAAACGAUCCGACAUUUGUGGUAUCGUCUAAGCCAUGCCAGAGUGCUCAAACUAGAAAAGCCUAGUGAGCUAUGCACAAUGCUAGCAGCAAUGACUCAUCCCACAGUGCUCAAUUUGGACAUGAAAGCAGCAAGGUAUCCAGAACUUGAACUUUUUCUACCUAGUAUAUAUAUAUAAUUAUG